rnacentral:rRNA from 1 species
GUCCAUGCCGUAAACGAUGGAUGCUAGGUGUCGGGGGUACUCAAUCCUUCGGUGCCGAAGCUAACGCGUUAAGCAUCCCGCCUGGGGAUUACGGCCGCAAGGUUAAAACUCAAAGGAAUUGACGGGGGCCCGCACAAGCGGUGGAGCAUGUGGUUCAAUUCGACGCAACGCGAAGAACCUUACCUGGGUUUGACAUCCCGAGAAUCCGCUAGAAACAGUGGAGUGCCCGUAAGGGAGCUCGGUGACAGGUGCUGCAUGGCUGUCGU